AACGCUGGCGGCGUGCCUAACACAUGCAAGUCGAACGAGAAAGGGUAGCAAUACCUGAGUAAAGUGGCGCACGGGUGAGUAACACGUGACUAACCUACCCUGGAGUGGGGGAUAACUGAGGGAAACCUUAGCUAAUACCGCAUAGCACCUACGGGUCAAAGGAGCAAUUCGCUUCAGGAGGGGGUCGCGGCCGAUUAGUUAGUUGGCGGGGUAAUGGCCCACCAAGACUGUGAUCGGUAUCCGGCCUGAGAGGGCGCACGGACACACUGGAACUGAAACACGGUCCAGACUCUUACGGGAGGCAGCAGUGGGGAAUUUUGCGCAAUGGGGGAAACCCUGACGCAGCAACGCCGCGUGGAGGAUGAAGUACUUCGGUACGUAAACUCCUUUCGAUCGGGACGAUUAUGCGGU
rnacentral:rRNA from 1 species